UGAAUAUUAUAUAUCAGACAUUCGGAAAAAUGAAUAGUAUGUGGAGCCCAGUUCAUGCUCUCUAGAUGCUCCGUGUUAGGUUACUUCACUAUUCAGAAAGGAAUACAGGUAAAUUGUAUCUAAUUUCAGAGCUUCAUUGCCAAUUAGUUUGUUAAAGAGUGUAAAUAAGCACUCAUUUUGCAGUUCCUAAAGUUAUUUGCUAAUAGAAUAAAACCCGUAAGUUAUGUAAGUAUAGGAAAAUCAACAGGUAGUACGCAUCCAGUAGUCGGGAUAUUAAAUGAUAUUGCACAAAUUGAAAUUGUACAUUGUAAAUAGAAACCGGUACGUAGAUGGCUCCAGUCUACCCAGCUCUUUUCGGAACAUUUUCUGAUUAUUGAAAACGUAUAUUCUGUAUUAAUGAAAUAUUGAAAAUAUGCCUUCGGUCACUCCCCUUCAACUUCUUCUUAGUUUGUGCGCGAAAAAUCAGCAAAAGGUCUCAUCAAAGCGUCAUUGCUCACGUUGACUUUCCCCCGAUACAAAAGAAAAAGAUUGUUUGCGCGAGCCGAAUGCGAGAACUCAAGCAGGUGGUAAAAGAUUUGCUUAUUCAAGUAACUGUUCAUGCGCAGUAGUUCACCUCGGCUUUUUCUUUAUCUAGAAAACAAUUCACAAUGAGCGUUAUGCGCUUACAUAUUGUGCUGAUAGGCUACGAGUGGCAGUAAUGGUGUAACAUGCACUCAUUUCAGGGCUGUGGAUUGCAUCGACCUAACCGCACGAUGCGGGACCUCGUAUAUGUUGCCUUUUUACUGUUCCCGUCAAUAUGCUUACCUGUAACACACGUCCGAGGAUACACUUCAGUGGAAAGAAGAGAAGCUUCUAGAGGUCCUGAUUCUCUGCGCACAUAUAAAAUUGGAGAAGGACGUGCGUAUUGAACAUUUUUAUCUUGAGAACUACAUUUCGGGGAACUUAAGGCAGAGUGGGCAUCAAUAAUGCUUUCUAAUGCGUCCAACAGAGAUUUAAUAUAUAUAAGGAUCUAAAAAAAUAUGAAUAAGAAUAGGGAUAAGAAUAUUGGAUCAUGAGACUUCUUUGAUGGGACCGGCAUGUUUAAAUCUCUUUAUACAUUGCAAGGACAUCUGUUGCCUUCCUUUGCUUUCCGAAACAUAGAUACUCUCGAAAUUAAACAACAUAUUGCAUGACUGAAUAAAGAGGAAUAUCUUGUAAACCGAUGUGGGGAAAAAUCAGUACUAGCGGGGCCUUCGUUCGCUGAAUUUCACUGAGUUAAAUUGCAUGAAUUCUAAUCAUUAAGUGACUGUUGAUCCUAUGCUUCAUGCUUUUGUCACGUGUUUCUUAGCAUGUUUUUAUAUAUGGCAGUUUGCUUAGUUAAAUCAUGGUUCGAUUGUUUUUUAGACGUCUAUACAGUUCGUAUUUAUCUUUGCCUCCGGCAUUUUUCUCUUUUUUUUCCGCUACCUUCUUGAUGUGGCAAUAACUGGCCCAGCAAACCGCCUUCCCGAAGAAGAUGGCAGUCGACCGCAAAAUAGAGAACCUCGUCGAGUGGGCUCAGCAAGCCACCCUUCCGAAGGUAAUGACACUGAAAUGGGAAAGAGAGACUUUGAUCGAAGUACUGAAGAAUCUCUGCACAAGAGUGAACGUAAAAGACGACGAUGCGGGACGAACGAGGAAUACAAGGAAUGCGUGAGUAGCAAAUGCUCAGAGUGGAAAUGCGGUUAUCUGUGGAAUGGAUGGCCCACACGGUGCACACGUGACUGCCGGCCAGGAUGCUUCUGUAAACACGGAUAUUUUCGAACCCGUAAAAACCGCUGUCAAUUAGGCUAUCACUGCUUCUACGAGUCCAGAUUUUACGAGAAGAAUUGCGCAGAGUAAUGCUCGCGAAGCCAUCGAUGUAUGUACUCCGGUGGUUCAUUCAAGAAACCAAUUGAAAAAAU
rnacentral:lncRNA from 1 species